rnacentral:rRNA from 1 species
UGGGGAAUAUUGGACAAUGGGGGCAACCCUGAUCCAGCCAUGCCGCGUGUGUGAAGAAGGCCUUUUGGUUGUAAAGCACUUUAAGCAGUGAAGAAGACUCCAUGGUUAAUACCCAUGGACGAUGACAUUAGCUGCAGAAUAAGCACCGGCUAACUCUGUGCCAGCAGCCGCGGUAAUACAGAGGGUGCAAGCGUUAAUCGGAAUUACUGGGCGUAAAGCGAGCGGAGGGGGCUUGAUAAGGCAGAUGUGAAAGCCCCGGGCUUAACCUGGGAACGGCAUGUGAUACUGUUAGGCUAGAGUAGGUGAGAGGAAGGUAGAAUUCCAGGUGUAGCGGUGAAAUGCGUAGAGAUCUGGAGGAAUACCGAUGGCGAAGGCAGCCUUCUGGCAUCAUACUGACACUGAGGUUCGAAAGCGUGGGUAGCAAACA